rnacentral:rRNA from 1 species
GACGAACGCUGGCGGCGUGCUUAACACAUGCAAGUCGAACGGAAAGGCCUCUUUCGGGGGGUACUCGAGUGGCGAACGGGUGAGUAACACGUGAGUAACCUGCCCUUGACUUUGGGAUAACUUCAGGAAACUGGGGCUAAUACCGGAUAGGAGCUCCUGCUGCAUGGUGGGGGUUGGAAAGUUUCGGCGGUUGGGGAUGGACUCGCGGCUUAUCAGCUUGUUGGUGGGGUAGUGGCUUACCAAGGCUUUGCCGGGUGGCCGGCCUGAGAGGGUGACCGGCCACACUGAGACUGAGAGACGGCCCAGACUCCUACGGGAGGCAGCAGUGGGGAAUAUUGCACAAUGGGUGGAAGCCUGAUGCAGAAACGCCGUGGGCGGGAUGACGGCCUUCGGGUUGUAAACCGCUUUCGCUCAUGACGAAGCUUUGUGUGACGGUAGUGGGUAAAGAAGCACCGGCUAACUACGUG